CCUACGGGAGGCAGCAGUGAGGAAUAUUGGUCAAUGGACGAGAGUCUGAACCAGCCAAGUAGCGUGAAGGAUGACGGCCCUAGGGGUUGUAAACUUCGUUGAUAGGGGAAUAAAAGGGUGCACGUGAGGGAUUUUGUAUGGACCAUAUGAAUAAGGAUCGGCUAACUCCGUGCCAGCAGCCGCGGUAAGACGGAGGUUCCGAGCGUUAUCCGGAUUUAUUGGGUUUAACGGGAGCGUAGGUGGUCUGUUAAGUCAGUUGUGAAAGUUUUCGGCUCAACCGUAAAAUUGCAGUUGAAACUGGCAGUCUUGAGUACAGUAGAGGUGAGCGGAAUUCGUGGUGUAGCGGUGAAAUGCUUAGAUAUCUCGAAGAACUCCGAUUGCGAAGGCAGUUCACUGGACUGCAACUGACACUGAGGCUCGAAAGUGUGGGUAUCAAACAGGAUUAGAUACCCUGGUAGUC
rnacentral:rRNA from 1 species